GGGAAUAUUGGACAAUGGGCGAAAGCCUGAUCCAGCAAUGCCGCGUGUGUGAAGAAGGCCUGCGGGUUGUAAAGCACUUUUAUCAGGAAAGAAACAGCCUGGGGAUAAUACUUCCAGGCCUUGACGGUACCUGAGGAAGAAGCCCCGGCUAACUCCGUGCCAGCAGCCGCGGUAAUACGGAGGGGGCUAGCGUUGUUCGGAAUUACUGGGCGUAAAGGGCGCGCAGGCGGCUGCUCAAGUCAGGCGUGAAAGGCCUGGGCUCAACCCGGGAAUUGCGCUUGAGACUGAGCUGGCUUGAGUGCGGGAGAGGAUGGUGGAAUUCCCAGUGUAGAGGUGAAAUUCGUAGAUAUUGGGAAGAACACCGGUGGCGAAGGCGGCCAUCUGGACCGUAACUGACGCUGAGGCGCGAAAGCGUGGGGAGCAA
rnacentral:rRNA from 1 species